UACGAAGGGUGCAAGCGUUAUUCGGAAUUACUGGGCGUAAAGCGUGCGUAGGCGGGUUGUUAAGUCUGAUGUGAAAGCCCUGGGCUCAACCUGGGAAUUGCAUUGGAUACUGGCAGGCUAGAGUGCGGUAGAGGGUAGUGGAAUUCCCGGUGUAGCAGUGAAAUGCGUAGAGAUCGGGAGGAACACCAGUGGCGAAGGCGACUACCUGGACCAGCACUGACACUGAGGCACGAAAGCGUGGGGAGCAAACAGG
rnacentral:rRNA from 1 species